rnacentral:rRNA from 1 species
GAUGAACGCUAGCGGCAGGCCUAAUACAUGCAAGUCGAACGGUAAGUGUUAUAGCAAUAUGACACCAAGAGUGACGCACGGGUGCGUAACACGUAUGCAACCUACCCUUUACAGGCGGAUAGCUCGGGGAAACUCGAAUUAAUCCGCCAUAAUAUAAUUGAAUGGCAUCAUUUGAUUAUUAAAUCUGCGGAGGUAAAGGAUGGGCAUGCGUCUGAUUAGAGUUGGUAGUGUAACGGACUACCAAGACGAUGAUCAGUAGGGGAACUGAGAGGUUGAUCCCCCACA